rnacentral:rRNA from 1 species
UGUGGUUAAAAAGCUCGUAGUUGGAUCUCGGCGGACUGAGGGCGGUUUGCUUGCUAGUAUUACUGCCCUAUAGUCCGUAGUUUUGCCAGAGGUUUCGGGGUGCUCUUAAUCGAGUGUCCCGGGAUGCUGGCAGGUUUACUUUGACAAAAUUAGAGUGCUCAAAGCAGGCUAUUACGCCUGAAUAUUCGUGCAUGGAAUAAUAGAAUAGGAAGUCGUUUCUAUUUUGUUGGUUUUCGGAAAUCGACUUAAUGAUUAAUAGGGACAGUCGGGGGCAUUUGUAUUCAAACGACAGAGGUGAAAUUCUUGGACCGUUUGAAGACAAACUACUGCGAAAGCAUUUGCCAAGUAUGUUUUCAUUAAUCAAGAACGAAAGUUAAAGGUUCGAAGGCGAUUAGAUACCGCCCUAGUUUUAACCAUAAACGAUGCCAGCUAGCGAUCUGCGGACGUUUUUUUUGUAGACUCCGCAGGAAGCUUCCGGGAAACCAAAGCAUUUGGGUUCCAGGGGAAGUAUGGUUGCAAAGCUGAAACUUAAAGGAAUUGACGGAAGGGCACCACCAGGAGUGGAGCCUGUGGCUUAAUUUGACUCAACACGGGAAAUCUCACCA